rnacentral:rRNA from 1 species
AUUGAACGCUGGCGGAAUGCUUUACACAUGCAAGUCGAACGGCAGCACGGACUUCGGUCUGGUGGCGAGUGGCGAACGGGUGAGUAAUGUAUCGGAACGUGCCCAGUCGUGGGGGAUAACGUAGUGAAAAUUACGCUAAUACCGCAUACGAUCUAUGGAUGAAAGCGGGGGAUCGCAAGACCUCGCGCGAUUGGAGCGGCCGAUAUCGGAUUAGGUAGUUGGUGGGGUAAAGGCCCACCAAGCCAACGAUCUGUAGCUGGUCUGAGGGGACGACCAGCCAAACUGGAACUGAGGCACGGUCCAGACUCCGACGGGAGGCAGCAGUGGGGAAUUUUGGACGAUGGGCGAAAGCCUGAUCCAGCCAUUCCGCGUGAAGGAUGAAGGCCCUCGGGUUGUAAACUGCUUUUGUACAGAACGAAAAGGUUUCUACUAAUACUAGGAGCUCAUGACGGUACUGUAAGAAUAAGCACCGGCUAACUACGUGCCAGCAGCCGCCGUAA